UACAGAGGGGGCAAGCGUUGUUCGGAAUUACUGGGCGUAAAGGGCGCGUAGGCGGCCUUCUAAGUCAUGCGUGAAAUCCCCGGGCUCAACCCGGGAACUGCGUCUGAUACUGGAAGGCUUGAAUCCGGGAGAGGGAUGUGGAAUUCCAGGUGUAGCGGUGAAAUGCGUAGAUAUCUGGAGGAACACCGGUGGCGAAGGCGGCAUCCUGGACCAAUUCUGACGCUGAGGAGCGAAAGCCAGGGGAGCAAACGGG
rnacentral:rRNA from 1 species